rnacentral:rRNA from 1 species
AAAGGCCGCAGAAUUUUAACUGUGCAAAGGUAGCAUAAUCAUUAGAUUUUUAAUAAGAAUCUUGUUUGAAUGGAUAAAUGAAAAAAAAACUUUUUUAUUUUAAUAUUAUUGAAUUUUAUUUUUCAGUUAAAAAGCUAAAAUAAAAAAAAGGGACGAGAAGACCCUAUAGAAUUUUAUAAAUUUUAUUAUUAAUUUAAUUUAAUUAAUAUAAUAAUUAAUAAAUAAUUUAUUUUAUUGGGGUGAUAAUUAAAUUUAUUUAACUUUAAAUGUAUGAAUUCAUUUAUAAUUGUUUAUUUGAUCUUUUUUUAUUGAUUAAAAAAUUAAAUUACCUUAGGGAUAACAGCAUAAUAAUAUUAAGAAGAUUUAUUUUUAAUAUUGAUUAUGACCUCGAUGUUGGAUUAAAUAUAUUUUAAAAUUAGAAAUUUUUUAAAAUAAGUCUGUUCGACUAUUAAUUAUUUACAUGAUCUGAGUUCAAACCGGUGUAAGCCAGGUCGGUUUCUAUCU